rnacentral:rRNA from 1 species
CAGAUUGAACGCUGGCGGCGUGCUUAACACAUGCAAGUCGCGCGUGAAAGGACUUCGGUCCGAGUAAAGCGGCGCACGGGUGAGUAACGCGUGGAUGAUCUACCCAUGAGUUAGGAAUAACGGCUGGAAACGGUCGCUAAUACCAAAUACGCUCCGAUUUCAACUUCGGGGGAAAGGUGGCCUCUGCUUGCAAGCUACUGCUCAUGGAUGAGUCCGCGUCCCAUUAGCUAGUUGGUGGGGUAACGGCCCACCAAGGCGACGAUGGGUAGCCGGUCUGAGAGGAUGACCGGCCACACUGGGACUGGAACACGGCCCAGACUCCUACGGGAGGCAGCAGUGGGGAAUAUUGCGCAAUGGGCGAAAGCCUGACGCAGCGACGCCGCGUGAGGGAAUGAAGGUCCUCGGAUCGUAAACCUCUGUCAGGAGGGAAGAACCGCCACGGUGCUAAUCAGCCGUGGUCUGACGGUACCUCCAAAGGAAGCACCGGCUAACUCCGUGCCAGCCGCGGC